CUUUGUGUGUUCCAUUUGUACCAUGCAAGUUGUCAAGCACCACAGCUGAACGGAAGAAAGAAUGUGGGGAAUCUCUGCUAAGCUUUAGUUUUACAUACUUAAUAGCAGACACAGGAUUUGUUCAGAGUUUUAUUAUCGGGUGAGGAGUUAAGGUAAUUACAGCAGCGAGGCAGAAGGCCAAAAGAUGAUGAAGAAGUCUAAUACCAGGAACCGUUUAGGUUAAGAGUGUACUGUAGGUUAUUUUUUAAAAUAUACUAACCACCUACUGAUGACCUCCUCCUGGGGAAAUUUAAACACAAUUUAAUUAUUGCACCUCAUGUGUUAACAUUUACAAUAAGGGCACUGCAGUUUACACUCUAGUGCUUGCUUUUACACGGUGUGUAAAGAAAAGGGAUUUGGCUGAAGUCAGUGAGACAGAAGAGGUUAAAAUCAGUAGCUGGAAAAUGAAAGAGCUGUAAGGCAUUCUGCACAUUUCUUUACUAUGCAAAUAUUCAGAACUUAUUUGAAUCUAAAACGGGAAAGUCAAUCGUUUGGACUUCAAGGUAGAUUUCUUGCAAGUUACACCUGUUCAGAAGACAACUCUUUGUCUCAAGUUUCAAUACAGUGUAAACUACAAGCAAGUGGUUGAGAGGAAUCCUGAAAGGGGUUGCACCCUAGCAAGAGAGUAGGUGUUUUGCUGAAUUAAAACCCUAUCCACUAUUAUACGAAUCUUAAGAAAAACAGAAGUGUAUUUUUAGCAUUUUCUACAGAACUUCCCAGAAAUGGUAGGAAAUGGUACAGUGCAUGGGAACUGUUGAGUCAUGGCCUGACCAACCGAUUGAGCAUGUGGGGGAAGGACCCAGUCAGCCCUGGGAGCACAGGUGAAGACAAUUCAGCUGUGUGACCCAAAGGGGUGGAGCCUGGAUGCAACUCUCUUAGGCUUCAUUUAAGGGCUGAAUGGCACUGGGGAAGGAUCUCUUUAUGGAGGUUCUUCCUUGGUGAAGCUUUCCCCUGUGGACCUGGAAUCUUCUGAUACGGGCUUAAGAUUACUCUGACAUUUAUAACACAAGGAGAAGGAACUAAAUUAGAGUAUUGACACUGGAGUUUCCAAUACAGCCCUCCAAGAAAGCAUCAGUAACUGGACAAAUUCAACACCAGAAGAAAAAAAGAGGAAGCUGCACAUGCGACCUCAGACUGGGGGUUGUCAAGGACUCUCCUUUGGACAUUGAAUCCAACCUGUUUUUAUCAACCUGAAGACUGACAGACUUUCUGUCUAGAAAAAUGGAAACGAAAUUGUGAAGUUACUGUUUAAGUGAAAAGUGAUAUAUAUAUAU